UGACUUGUUUAUUUCUUCGGAUUCUUAUGCAGCCAGACACUUGGCAUUCACUGCCCACUCUCCCCCUAAUUCUUUAAUUUCCCCAAAGCCAAGUUACCAGUGCUUCCCACGGCCAUCACCUCACCCCCAAUGAACUCCACUAUUUCUUUGACCGAGAGAGACACAGCGAGAGAGGGAACACAAGCAGGGGGAGCAGGAGAGGGAGAAGCAGGCUUCCCGUGGAGCAGGGAGCCCGAUGUGGGGCUCGAUCCCGGGACCCUGGGAUCAUGACCUGAGCUGAAGGCAGACGCUUAACGACUGAGCCACCCAGGCACCCCACGUGAUGUCGUUUGAUUGGACAAUUUAGUUCACUUACAUUUAAAGUAAUUAUUAACAAAAACAAGAAAGGCAUCACAGAUACGUCUCUAGUAAUGCUACAAGACAGGAACCACAAUAACAACAAAUGAAGCAAGUCACCAGGUCCAACCCACACUUAAGAGGAAGGCAUUAUGUGAAGGAGUGAAAACCAAGAGGCAAAAUUACUGGGAACCUUGUCAGAAGCUGCCUGCAAUAGAUGUAUAUUGAAGGUAAGGAGAGGGUCAGAACCACGGAAAUGUAAAAUUUUCUGAUUGAAAUGAAAAGGCCCUGUAAAUCUAGCCAUCCACAUGCUGCCUGAAUUCCUGAUAUAGCUCCCUGCCACGUAGCUUAUCAUUCUACAUCUGCACAAUGAUAUGGUUAGAAAUGGUGUCCUUGUUAUACUUGGGCUAGAAACCACCUGCUUGUAACAUUCAUCCAUGACCAUGCAGGCACCCUAUAACCUGUGAGAAUGGUGGAAAGGUCAGAAGAUUCAA